UGGGGAAUAUUGGACAAUGGGCGAAAGCCUGAUUCAGCCAUGCCGCGUGAGUGAUGAAGGCCUUAGGGUUGUAAAGCUCUUUUAGUCGGAAAGAAAGAGUUGCAAUGAAUAAUUGUGAUUUAUGACGGUACCGACAGAAAAAGCACCGGCUAACUACGUGCCAGCAGCCGCGGUAAUACGUAGGGUGCGAGCGUUAAUCGGAAUUACUGGGCGUAAAGGGUGCGCAGGCGGUCUUGCAAGUCAGAUGUGAAAGCCCCGGGCUUAACCUGGGAAUUGCGUUUGAAACUACAAGACUAGAGUGCAGCAGAGGGGAGUGGAAUUCCAUGUGUAGCAGUGAAAUGCGUAGAGAUGUGGAAGAACACCGAUGGCGAAGGCAGCUCCCUGGGUUGACACUGACGCUCAUGCACGAAAGCGUGGGGAGCAAACA
rnacentral:rRNA from 1 species